rnacentral:rRNA from 1 species
GACAGAGGUUGCAAACGUUGUUCGGAAUUACUGGGCGUAAAGCGUGCGCAGGCGGCGCGUUAAGACAGGUGUGAAAGCCCCCGAGCUUAACUUGGGAAUUGCGCUUGUGACUGGCGUGCUGGAGUGUGGCAGAGGGAGGUGGAAUUCCACGUGUAGCAGUGAAAUGCGUAGAGAUGUGGAGGAACACCGGUGGCGAAGGCGGCUCUCUGGUCCGUUUCUGACGCUGAUGUGCGAAAGCCAGGGUAGCGAACAGG